UACGGGGGGGGCAAGCGUUGUUCGGAAUUACUGGGCGUAAAGGGUUCGUAGGUGGCUUGCUAAGUCAGACGUGAAAUCCCUCAGCUUAACUGGGGAACUGCGUCUGAUACUGGCGAGCUUGAGUGCAGGAGAGGAACGCAGAAUUCCCGGUGUAGCGGUGAAAUGCGCAGAUAUCGGGAGGAACACCGGUGGCGAAGGCGGUUCUCUGGGCCUUACCUGACGCUGAGGAGCGAAAGCGUGGGGAGCGAACAGG
rnacentral:rRNA from 1 species